CAAUAGCGUAUAUUAAAGUUGUUGCAGUUAAAAAGCUCGUAGUUGGAUUUCUGCUGAGGACGAUCGGUCCGCCCACUGGGUGAGUAUCUGGCUCGGCCUUGGCAUCUUCUUGGAGAACGUUGCUGCACUUGACUGUGUGGCGCGGUAUCCAGGACUUUUACUUUGAGGAAAUUAGAGUGUUUCAAGCAGGCGCACGCCUUGAAUACAUUAGCAUGGAAUAAUGAGAUAGGACCUUGGUUCUAUUUUGUUGGUUUCUAGAGCUGAGGUAAUGAUUAAUAGGGAUAGUUGGGGGCAUUCGUAUUUAACUGUCAGAGGUGAAAUUCUUGGAUUUGUUAGAGACGGACUACUGCGAAAGCAUUUGCCAAGGAUGUUUUCAUUGA
rnacentral:rRNA from 1 species